ACAGGUCAGAAUUGAACUGUUUUAUAGUGAAACAUAUAUACCUAUUUUUAAUCAAUAUCUCCUCAGGAGGAAAGUAAGAAGUUUAUAUGUUAACAAACUUUGUACUUCAAAGAAGUAUGACUCACACAUAUUCUGAGUAGAAGCUAUCAAUUUGGCCAAAACACGACAUUCCACAGCUAUGAGAGAGUUAAUGAUGUAUGGUCACUUGGUCAAAGGUUAGUAACUCGACCCCCCCCCCCCCUUCCAGAACACUUGUAGUAACUUAGCCAAACAAACCCCAGAUUGUAAACAUCGGAUAAGAACCCCCAAAACAAAAGACUUCCUGUCUCCCUCCCAAUAACAAGACCCUUUCCCAGAACAGGUUACGUGUGGUAGCUAGAUCACUGUGAGAGUGUAGCUGUUAUAAAAGAAGGCAGAGGUAUUUGACAGAUUCACUCCUGUACUGCACCCCAUCCAUGGGGCAGGCAGGGAGGUCGACUCUGCAAGCUUUUGGUGUAACAUGUCAUUAUAUAGGUGUUGACAAAUUACAAUCAACAUGUAAGAAGCGGGAACGAGAGGAAACGGUCCUCUAGGCCAGAUUGCCAGGGCUUUAGCUUUGGCUUUAGCUUACUUUAGCUUUGUUCACUUUGCACCUGAAAUAAAAAGAACCGCAACACAACGAAUGGUGUGAUAUAGUAUUUUCUACCAGUUUCCGCGUGUGAUCGGCGAUGUUACAAAUGGCGUAAUCGGCAGGAUUUCAGCAAGUGCAAGCCCUGGCUUUCUGUGGAGCUUCUACAUCUGUGGGACAACUCGAUCGGACUCAGAUGUCUAGAAACGUGUAAAUAUUGACGUAGAUUUAAGUUGUAGCGAUUGUGUGUAUUGUAUGAAUGUUUGUUGCUAAGCUAGUGUGAAGUUUAGUAAGGAGCUACAUUGUGUUUGUUUAGGGGAAAUUAAGGAGUAAUGCUAUUCAUAUGUUGUUCAGACUGUCAUGAUAAUACUGUGUUUGGAACAGUCCAUACCCCCUUUCGUAUUUAAUUUCGGCUGGUUGGAUGGAGCCUCAUACAUAAGGGAUGGCAUACAAAGACACCGGUAUUUUAUAAUAUUGAUAGGAGGGAUAACAGUACAUGUAGGUGUAGAGCAAGUAUGAAGCUUUAGCUUUAUCACGUAUGAAUAGUUGGAAUAUUCUUUAUUUGAACUUGUAAAUUGUUGAGAUUUUAAGUUGGUUUUGGGAUUCGUUAAAGUUUUGGUAUUUUAAGGAUAAGUUAGGUUUAGGUUGUACUUCAUGUAUAUUACAUUUAUUGAAUUGAUAUGCAUGGUGGAUAUAUUUUUUAGUUUAGAGACUGCUUUUGAAAAAGCAGGGGAGCCCAUGAACGUGAAAUGUUGUUUCAGUUUGGGUCAGCAAUUGUUCGGAGUAACUAUGUGCGUGUGUUGUGUAAUGGAUAUUGUAUUGUUUUACUGAGAUUUCUGGAAUGUAACUGGGUUUUGGCUGGAAUUACUGUUGGACUUAGCCUGGAUAGUGUAUUUAGUGUUUAUUCCGAAAACCUCGACAUGAGACCGGAAUCAUUCAUGGAAGAAAUACUGGGGCGACUUUUAGGAACAGUAGGGUUUAUCUCUCUAUCUUUGUUUUUCUGUUAACCUCGUAGAGAGGCCGGAAAGGGCACAUUGGUAGCGGAGAGGAUUAGCCAUAAGUUAUAAGAUUUCUUUGUAUAUUGCAAUGUCGAAUUUUUGUAUCUUAAUUAGGAGUUUAUUAAGAUGUGAAAGGAAUAUCCAUAGGGCAAGGUUGUUACGAAAUAUAGUUGACAGUUUUACUGCUGUAUUUGCUAGCGUGUGUAAAUUAGGUACUAUAAGGAUGAUUAUUGUUUUUGUGUGUUUAGAAUGACACAGGGUAGAAUAAUUGGGUAUACCGUGAAAGUCAUCUGGCUUGUUUGAAAUGUCUGGGAUAUGAAGAUUUGUGUUGAUAACUAAGGUUUGGCAGUAGAGACUCUGGAACUGUUAUGAUCAGUUGGGUAGUACUUAGAUAAUUUGUAAAUGCUAGGAGCCUCGACAUGAGACCAGUUUUACAUAAUAAGGAGUGCUAGAAUGACUGAAACAGAUGAGUUUUGGCACUAGGUAUGUUUUCUGUGAUUCUCGUCAUGAGACCAGAAAGUUCGUAUUAGUGGUGCGGGUUGGCCAAUAACGUGUUAUGAUUUCAAUUUUUAUGUUCUGUAUUAUGCAAAAAUAGUUUUAAUCACAUGGUUAAUUUUGAUUUGCAUAUUGGUAAUUAGGCAUCGGUAUUAGGAUCGGGAAACAGCCACGAUGGAGAUAAGGUAUAGUGGGAAUUUAAUAUAAUUUUUGUUGUAGUAUGAGUGUCGGGACGACACGCAAUUAAGCAGGGGAGUGUGUAACAGGUCAGAAUUGAACUGUUUUAUAGUGAAACAUAUAUACCUAUUUUUAAUCAAUAUCUCCUCAGGAGGAAAGUAAGAAGUUUAUAUGUUAACAAACUUUGUACUUCAAAGAAGUAUGACUCACACAUAUUCUGAGUAGAAGCUAUCAAUUUGGCCAAAACACGACAUUCCACAGCUAUGAGAGAGUUAAUGAUGUAUGGUCACUUGGUCAAAGGUUAGUAACUCGACCCCCCCCCCCUUCCAGAACACUUGUAGUAACUUAGCCAAACAAACCCCAGAUUGUAAACAUCGGAUAAGAACCCCCAAAACAAAAGACUUCCUGUCUCCCUCCCAAUAACAAGACCCUUUCCCAGAACAGGUUACGUGUGGUAGCUAGAUCACUGUGAGAGUGUAGCUGUUAUAAAAGAAGGCAGAGGUAUUUGACAGAUUCACUCCUGUACUGCACCCCAUCCAUGGGGCAGGCAGGGAGGUCGACUCUGCAAGCUUUUGGUGUAACAUGUCAUUAUAUAGGUAAGAAGAUUAUUCUUUUGUUAAGUUGGAUAAUUAUUGAGAUAAUUAGUACUUUUGUAGAUGUAUUCUGAUGUUAGUUAAUAACCUUGGUAUCGUUAUGAACGAUAAGUUGUGCUGAAUUAAUAUGCAUUAAAGGUGUGGCAUAUUAUUUGUUUAAUCAUCAGUAGGUUGAUUUCGUUAGUGCAUUAAACACUAGUUUACGAUUUGGUAAUAGUAAUUUAAGAUGAUUUGUAUAUUACUAUGUUAUCCAUUACUUGUAAUCUUUAGGAGUUUUAGUUAUAAUGUGUUGUUGAGGUUAACUCUGGAUAAUCGUAUUUUGCAAGACAGUUGUAUUUUAAAGUAAUGUUUUAAGAGUUAACAGUUAACGGAUACAAUCUGAACCUUCUUCAGUUUGGUGUUUUAGAGUCAAAUUUACAAUGAUUUGUAUUAAUUAUUAUUCCUUCAGGUGUUGACAAAUUACAAUCAACAUGUAAGAAGCGGGAACGAGAGGAAACGGUCCUCUAGGCCAGAUUGCCAGGGUGAGUGGGUUAUCAUAUUCAAUGUAUAAACCACUAAUUCAAUGUAGUUUUAAUUGGGAAUUAUGUUUGAUUGUUUGACAAAGUUCACUUGAUGGUUGUAUUCAUUUAUUUGUUGGGAAAGUUAUCCAUAAAGAUGGAAGAACUUUAUUGAUUAGAAACUUGUUAUUUUCAUGCAAUAUUGAUUAAGUUUUAAUGAAUGGAAUAUAAACAACCUGUUUAUCAUUUAUUAUCAUGAGUCGGCUUGACGUCAUAUUGUUGGAAUUCGUAUCUUAGAGUCAUUAACGAAUAUUAUGUUUUUCGCUAUUAUGUGUGUUUUUCAAACAUGUCCUCAUUUUUAUUUAAUUGUUUUAACUUUGUUUAUUUGUCCAGGCUUUAGCUUUGGCUUUAGCUUACUUUAGCUUUGUUCACUUUGCACCUGAAAUAAAAAGAACCGCAACACAA